AGCCUAUACAGCUUGGAGUAAGACAACAUGCAUAAAGAGGAUGAUGUGGUCAAAAUACUCAUUUGCCUAAUAAUUCUGCACUCCCUGUAUGCAUCUGGCUAUAAAGGACUUUCUGUUGCUAUUAAUGUUGUUAACAAGUGCCGAAGAAGGAUUUCUACACAGACAGAAAAUGGACAAUUGAACUGCAACUGCUGAUCCAAGCGAAUGAGGAGGAUCAAAGCAGGCCCCGUG